UUAAAGUGCCGAAUCUCCAACAAAUCUCAAAUACACAAGCCAGACCACCCAAGGCUCUUCAAGAAAGUUCCUUCCUCAGCCAUAUUCCCCACCACAAACCCUAACCCAAAUCCAAAUCCAAAUACAAAUCCAAGCUUUUCUCGUCUCUCUCUCCCGCUCGCUCUCUCUCUGAGCCAAAAAUGUCGCACUUCGGAAGGACAGGCCCUCCGGACAUCGCAGACACCUAUUCUCUCCUUGUCCUCAACAUCACCUUUCGUACGACUGCAGAUGAUCUAUUCCCGUAUUUUGAUAAGUACGGCAAGGUCGUGGAUAUCUUUAUCCCCAGGAAUCGGAGGACUGGUGACUCAAGGGGCUUUGCAUUUGUGCGGUACAAAUACGCUGAUGAGGCACAGAAAGCAGUGGAAAGGCUAGAUGGAAAAGUUGUUGAUGGUCGAGAGAUAACAGUUCAGUUUGCCAAAUAUGGGCCAAAUGCAGAGCGGAUUCAGAAAGGGAGGAUUAUUGAAUCGUUCCCAAAGUCAAGAAGUCGCAGUCCUCGGAGAAGGUCCCGGGAUGACUACAGAGAUCGUGAUUACAGGAGAAGAAGCCGCAGUCGAAGUUUUGAUAGGUAUGAUCGUGACAGGUAUGGGAGGGACAGGGAUAUUCGUCACCGGAGCAGGAGCCGUAGUGUGAGUCCUGAUUACCAUAAGGCCCGAGGAAGAGGCCGUUAUGAUGAUGAGCGCCAAAGCCGAAGCCGAAGUCGAAGUCGAAGUCGGAGUCGAUCAAUCAAUAGUGCAUCACCUGCUCGGCAUAGCCCUAGUCCUCGCAGAAGUCCUUCCCCACGUAGGUCUCGGUCUCUUAGGGAUGAAAGUCCUGAUAGGCGUAGCCGCGAUAGACGGUCCCCAAUUCCUCGUAGUGUUUCGCCUAGGGGUCGUCCUGCUGAUUCUCGAAGCCAAUCCCCUCGGAAGUCGGAUGAUGAAUGAUUGUUGCGGGUUUCAUGGAAAUUCAUGGAGACAUCUUGAGUGGUGUACUUGUGGCUGUUAAGCUAAUAUGAAGACUCUUGACCCCGUGCAUGUUCUUAUCAGAAUGUUAAGUGCUAGUUUUGUUAUGUUCGGGAACAAUGACUGGGGCUUGAUAGGCAGAUGUUGAAUUAUGGCCGUUGAUGCUGUUCCUAAGUUGUAGAUGGAUGAUCGUGAUAUUGAUGCUGGUUGCAGCAGUAUGCUGGUUAUAGAAGUAUGAUUGUUUUAGCAGUAUGCGGGUUGCUGGGGGCUAUAAUGUGUUAACUAAUUUUCUCUGGAUGAUACAUCUUUGAGGUUCUAGUUGCUGUGAUGGUUUAAAGACACAAGUUGAAGGUGUAUUUACCUGUAGCUGAUGCUGCAGAUAUGAGAUGGACCCGUGAUUCAUUAACCGUGAUGGGGAUACUGAACAUGAACUGCAAAUUCUAUAUGUGAGCCCUUUAGUGCUGGUGUGAAUUUUGCAGCCUGAAUAAUGAGACAUGGUAGUAAGUUUAUGAUUAAUAAUUUGUUUAGGGUUAUUAGAGUUCAACACUGUUUAACCCCAAUCCUUUACGAUUAUAACUUCUGCUGCUUAAUGUAGUGAGAUGUUUUUAGCACAUGGGUCCAUGACUGUAGCUGUGAAGUGGUCGCUGAUGCCUCUUCUGUUCUAUUCUUGGUUCGUGAUUUACUUUGAAGUAUUAGAAUAACCACUGCUACCUGGCUUGGUUUGGGUUGGCAAUGAUACCAGCCGUUGUGGCACUGCUUAUGACUGCCUAGCCGUGUAGCUGGCUUGCGUCAAUUCUUAAAGAUCUGGUCUAAUACAACAUGCCUGACAUUUCUGCUUUGUGCUGAUGGAUUUAUAUUAUAGUUUUAUGCUAUGAAAAUUGCCUCUAUAUUUGGUUUAUUGUCUCGAUUAUUUUUGUUGUUGUUGGAGACUAGAUAAUUUUAACACAGGUGUUAUGAUAAUGAAAACGAUGACCUGUUACUUUC